UGGGGAAUAUUGCACAAUGGACGGAAGUUUGAUGCAGCGACGCCGCGUGGAGGGUGUAGGCCUUCGGGUUGUGAACUCCUUUUUCUCGCGAAAAAGGCACAGUUUUGGCUGUGUUGAUGGUAGUGGGGGAAGAAGCGCCGGCUAACUACGUGCCCGCAGCCGCGGUAAUACGUAGGGGGCUAGCGUUGUCCGGAAUCACUGGGCGUAAAGGGUUCGCAGGCGGAAAUGCAAGUCAGGUGUAAAAGGCAGUAGCUUAACUACUGUAAGCAUUUGAAACUGCAUAUCUUGAGAAGAGUAGAGGGAAGUGGAAUUUUUAGUGUAGCGGUGAAAUGCGUAGAUAUUAAAAAGAAUACCGGUGGCGAAGGCGACUUACUGGGCUCAUUCUGACGCUGAGGAACGAAAGCGUGGGUAGCAAACAGG
rnacentral:rRNA from 1 species